rnacentral:tRNA from 1 species
GAGGGUACAGCUCAAGUAGCAGAGCACAUGCUUAGCAUGCACAGGGUCCUGGGUUCAAUUCCCAGUGCCUCCU